AUGAUGAUUCCGACACCUGGUAUCACGCAAGGCGCAAGUGAAACUUGUACAAUGUCUUAUCUACCAUACAACAUGGAUCCGUCAUCUGGUGCCGGCUUGGUUCCACGGAGUGCCAAUAGUGGUACCUCCCUGCAAGGGGGAGCUCCUGAUGAGCAUGUGAACACAAUGUUUUCUCAGGGGAUACUCCCUACACAACAUGGUCGGCCUGAAACCAACAAACUCUUGUAUAUUCCUAAUGCUUGGCUAAACACCACAGCCUAA
rnacentral:rRNA from 1 species